rnacentral:lncRNA from 10 species
GUGACUUGGUGACAUCGGACAGCCUCUCCUACUGUGUUCUGUGGCCUCCAACCUGACAUUCACAGGUUCCAACAAAUUUCAACACGUCACAUGUUGUGGAUGAUUUGAAACAAGUCACCUUGGAGCCGGAGAACCUUUGAGGAUGGCAUGGUGGAAAGAACAUUGACUUGGAAAUCACAUGUUGAUAAUAAUGGCAAUGUGGAUGUUGGCAAUUUACUUAAUCUCUCUGAAAGUGUUUCAUUAAAAAUGAAAAUGAGGAACCUAACUUUUGGGCUUAUUGUGAUGAUGGAAAUCAUCUCUCUCACAUGCCUAACAUGUAGUUCAAUAAGUGGUCCAUAUAGAAUAGUAAUAAAGCAAAAUUCAUUUUUUUCCUCCUCUUUUGAUGUGUGAAAGGAAAAUAAAACUUGGAACCCCAAUUUACUAUGUCAAAAGGAAAAAAAUUAAGCUGAAAGCUGAGUUAUGUAAGAAGCUGCCUUUCCUUUUGUUUCUAAGCAGAUAGCUACAGAUAAAAGCUACAUAUCUCCACUGGUAGCUACUCUAUAUUCACCCUAUCUUACAUAAAGUGCUGAUUUACUGACACCAGGCAAAUACAUAAUUGACUAUCCCCCUACCUGCUUCCUUUCUCUUGCAACGUGUGAAUUCGAUAAUGUGACCAUACCCUCCCUCUUUCUCGUCCAGUCAGCUUUUCGUCUUUAAAUAUUGAACUCCUCAAAAAUCAUCUUUGGAGAAAGGCACAGACCCGUCUCCCAGACACAUCCUUGAACUUGGCAAAAUAAACUUCUAAAUUGGUUGAGACCAGACUCAGAUACUUUUUGGUUUACAGUUCCACGAUUCAUGUGAGUAGAUCUAGCAGGGAAUAGAAAAUUCAAAGCUGUUGGGAAGAAUAAUUUCAUAUCCCAGAAGCUUCAAGCAUUCUUUUCCUUCCCACUCCUCUUGGACAAAUCAGAGGGUUUGCAAAUGGCAGUACAGUAGAAGCUGAUACUUCUCUCAGAGAUGUAACACAGGAAGCCAACAAUAUGCUGUAAUCAAGAACAGAGCCUUUAGGUGAGAAAAUAAAAAUCACUGACCUUGGUUUCAAGCCCAAGUCAUGUCUAAAUGUUUUACUAUGGCCUAGACACCUUAUAAGAACUAGAUCCAGAACUUACAUUUUAAUUGCAUGUACAUGUAGAUGACAUGCAUCAUGGAAAUGGGAAAAGUUAGAAUGUUGGCCUGUGGAAGUAUAUUGUAAUCUGUCA